rnacentral:lncRNA from 1 species
GAUCGAGACCAUCCUGGCUAACACAGUGAAACCCCGUCUGUACUGAAAAUACAAAAAAAAAAGCCCAACGUGGCGGCAGGCGUCUGUAGUCCCAGUUGCUGGGGAGGCUGAGGCAGGAGAAUGGCGUGAACCCGGGAGGCGGAGCUUACAGUGAGCUGAGAUCACGCCACUGCUCUCCAGCCUGGAUGACAGAGCAAAACUCCAUCUCAAAAAAAAAAAAAAACUGGAACCAUCUUGGAUAAAAUGUACGACAAAGUACUGAUGAGUUUAAUGUUAACAGAACUAGAAGUCAGCAAGAAGACCAGCAACAAGCCUUCGGAUAAGUGAGUUCUUCAUUAGCUUUAAGAGAGUGGGAGCAGAGGAAACGGGUACCGUGAGGGCAGACCUGCUUUCAAGAACAGAUGAACAGCGGCUGAGAAUGACUCCAAGAGGUCGCAGGAGCAGAGCUGCAUUUCAGUGGCAGCUUGAACCAAGAUCUAGAUGUCCAUUUGGAGUGAGUGUCAAGAAAUACCACGUAAGAAAAGAGAGCAGUGCCGUCCUGCCACCACUGUGUGUGCGGCCCGUGUACGUGUGAAUAACGACGGCUCAACUCCAGAAUGGAGUUCUGGAAGGCUG